rnacentral:lncRNA from 1 species
AUAUAUUUUCUAGUGAAAUUUUUACUGCGAAAAUGUUCCUCUAUAUUUUAUAUUCUCGUUACUCAUUUUUCUUUUUAGUCUAAUCUCUUAAAUUUCAAUCGAAGGAAAAUUCGUACGUCUAAUGAUUGACAAGGAAGUUCCUUGUAAAUUAAUCAAAAUGGCGGUGAAAAAUUACGAUAAUCCUCACGGUCGUCGUGCUAUCUUUUAGUUAUUUAUAGUCGUGGGCAUACAACAAUGACAGGUAUAUUCGAUAACGAAUUCUAGUUAGAAACUGAACAUUAUCCUCGUUUAAAACGGAAUGGAAGCUGAAUAACCGAGGAAAAUUCUUUCGUAAUUGGCUUCCGGAAUUUUAUGUUUCAUUGAACUUCUCAUCGACUCUGUUUACUUGUAAAUCUAUGCAUUUUUUAUCAUUUUUAAUAUUUACGUAAUUGAUCGAGAAAAUUGUUUUGUAAAAAAUCGAUCGACGAUAAUUAUCAUGUGAAAGAUAAUUAAGUGAAAUGAAAUUGUUAUAAAUUAUCGUGUCCAUUGAUUUUGAAUUAAUUAAACGAAGAAUUCGAUGAAAAAGAAGGAAAGAGAAAUGAUUCUAAAUUUUUAACCGACAGCUAGGAAGUUGGAGUUCUGCCACGAGAUUGCCACUCUCAAAGUUGUUUCUACGACCACGCAGAGGUGGAAAGCUUUGGUCGACGACGAUAGCCUCUUUGCACGCAUACCCGCUCGCGUAUUUGCACUUUGUCCGACUGUAAAUUACGUUUCCACGGCGUGGCGAGAUACAGCGAAAACGCCAUUGGACCCUCUUCGUGGACUAUUAUCGUGCAACGAGGAUAUCUAAACUUAUAUAUAUAUAUAAGUACAUAUACUUCUGCUUAAAAGUCUUGGAAUAUCUUUUAUGGUGUAAUCAUGAAUUUUAAUUUUUACGUUAAAUACAUUAAUAUUUAUUGAUGGUCACUAAAUUUCUUAACUCUUUACUCUGUAAACAUUUUCACGAUUACCUCGAACCAUAAACGAUGGUCAUUUGUAUUCAACGUGAUUUUCAAUAGAUGUUUCGAACGGAGAGGAAGAAAAGUUCCACGAAGAGAAAAAUCGAGCGAUCCAAAAAGGGAAGAAAGAAAGAUGAAUUCGUGCAUUUAAUAAUAUAUAUAUAUAUAUUUUAUCGAACGAAAAGUGCUCGAUGAAGGAAAGAAAAAAUUUGAUGGAAAAAGAAAAAGGCCCAAUGAAGGUUGCAUCGACUCAAUUAAGAGAUCAUCAUAUUCAUUUAAUAAGUACAAUAGAUGUCCUAAAACUUCUCGAAUAAAGAAUGUUUAUACUCGAAAAAAAAAAAAAAAGACGCACGGAAGAAUCCGUGGAACGGGGGCCAGGCCCAGAGAAGGAGGAAAUGAGAUGGAAGAUGGUGGGUCAGGCGAAAAAGGAAGAGGCAGAGAGUCGAUCGAGGAUUAAGUAGUCGAGGUGAUCUCGCGCACUUAGGGCUACAAGGGAUAAAGCUCCGGCACUGUCAGUGGGCAGGGUGGGACGAAGGGUGGACCAACCGGUCCUCGAGGUUGCCUCGGCUUAUUCAGUCAACGAACUCUGCGGGCCUACGACGUGACACUGACCCCUCCAGGGUAAACGUCCCUGGCCGGUCGCUUUAUCAAUGUAAACGCGCCGAUCGCCGGUGGAAAUAAAUGGGAAAAAAGAGAAGGAGGGGGGAGAGGGGAAAAAAAAAGAAAGAGAAAAGAAAAAAGAGUGGAAAGAAGGGAGAAAUAAGAAGAAAUAAGAGGGAGAAGUGGAAAAGGAAAGGGGAAAAAAGGAGAGAGAAAGAAAAAGAAAAGGAAAGGCACGGUUGCGUCGUCGGAAGGCAAAGAGAAGUGGAUGGUUGUAACAUUAGCGAGACGCUGAAGACGAUGAUCCCUUCGGGGCGUGUUUCUUCCAACGGUAUACGUAUAAUGUAUAGGGUGGCUUGAAUGAACGCAUGUCCAUACCUAAGAAUGGGACAAUAAUCUUUGCAAUAGAUAUCCUUUGAUCUUCUUGCUCCGUUUCAUCUUCAUCUCUUGAAAUUGAGGUAAUAGAUUAAUAAAGAAAGGACUUGCACUUUUAUGGAUUGGAUUUUCAUACUUAAGGAAAAUUUUUCCAAUUUUUUUGAUCUUGUUCUCAAGGUAAUUGAUUAAUAAAGAAUGGAUUGCACUUAUGGAUUGGAUUUUUUCCAAUGGACGUUCUUUGAUCCUGUUCCAUUGGAUAUUUAUUGCAUCGACACGUUUGAAAAUUGAGGUAUUCGAUGCUAGUGAACGGUAUGAACGAUAUGUAAUAAAGAGAAGGAUUUUAAAUUAUUAGGAGGAAUGGUAUUUUCCAACGGAAUUCGAACUGACUGGUAUUCUCAAUGGAUUUGUAUUUAUGAAUCACCUUGUGUGCACGGUGGUGAGUCCACGUUUAUGGGAGAGAGCUGAUAACGUUGCGAAUUUCCUCACGUUCUUUCGCGUGGUAAUUUGCGAUUUAGCCGGAAUGAGAAGGGUUGGUGGAUUGUCGUGGAUUUUUAUCAGUGGAAGAAUUGGUUUUCGCCCAUUACGUUGUUUUAUAUAUUUUAUUUAUACAAUGGAUAGAGGCUUAAAGCCUCUAUUCACCUCUAUCCUAAAUUCAAAAAAUUUAACAUAAUUUUUAUCCUCUUCAAGGUUGAAGGAGAAUUUUUUGAAGAAUAUUGUAUACAAGCGAUUAAAUUGAGAAGAAAGAGUUGAGGCAGUUUUUUAGAAAUAUAUUUGGAAAAGAAGGAGAAAAUAAUGGGUAUAAUAAGGGGGAAAGGAAAGAUAGAAAGAUACGUCGAACUUGGAGAAAGAAUUUUCUUCUUCUUCAGGGAUUUAGGAGCUUAUCUAUUAGGAGAAGAGAAAGAUUCUCGUUUUCUCAAGAGUUUUAAUGUACAUUGUAUGUUAUUUAUCUUGUACUUCCGAUUAAAUUACGAUAACGAGAUUAUCUAUUUUUAGAUAGAUACUCUCUUAAAAGAA